GCAGCAGAUGUGGUAAAACGGCAGUUUUCAGAGUAAAUCAUGGUAUUUUUACUAUUAUUGCAGUCUUCAAUUUGGUCUUGUGGAAGCAAAUAAAUACUGAAUAUUGAAAGACGUACAGUUUAAUUUUCUUGCUUCUCUCAUCAGUGUCAACAUUUCUGAAGUUCUGGGCAAAAUUUCGUUCUUUUGCGGAGUACAGAAACACAGCAACACUGACUCACAGCCCACAAUUGUACUCAAUUUAUUUAUCAUUUUUUCGUAACCAACGUAACAAAACUGUACUUAUCAAUAUUUUAUAUUAUUAUAUAAACGAGUGUGAGAUACUGAAAAAUACACAGUGAGAUAUUUUCCAUAUCUUCUUCACUAGUGAUACGAUCACGAUACGAUCACGUCACUUUUUCCAAUUUGUUUUUGAGCGUGAAAUUUCACAAUUUUUUGCUUGAGACUAUAUAAUAAACAGAACAUUACACGGUGGCUUGAAGAUAUGACUUUUAUCUUCUCUUGUUAAAAACAAUAUUUUACUCACUCGCUGCGCUCGUUCGUAAAAUAUUGUUUUCCCAACUCGAAGAUAAAAGUCAUAUCUUCGCGCCGCCGUGUAAUAUCCUCUAUAUGAUACUGGUCCCUAUAAACAAUGUUAAAAAUCUAACCAUCUAUUUUAAAAUUACACAGUAUAUAUAUAUAUAUAUAUAUA